rnacentral:lncRNA from 1 species
CUUAGCCCUGGCGAGUGUUUCGCAUCAGGUGACAAGUUGUGCCGAGUGUCUGCCACCCUGCAUGCCCACACUGAAUCCGUGCAGGGCCCUCCCGGCCGCCUGCUCAGCUGUGGACACGGAGCUCCGGCACAGCCAAGUCCUGAAUGACAUGCAGCCAAUUCUCUUGGGCCCUUUCCGGGUUUGUCUGUGGUCCUUCCUUCUGUGUUUCCAGGCUGAGUCCUAAGGCCCUGGUCCUGUGCCCAGUGUGGUGCCUUGGAAGUUCUGAAAGUCACAGGGGCACAGUGGAGUGUGUGAGGAAAGACCCCUGCAGACGGCCUCCGGCGGGCUUCGGGCAGCUCUCCCUGGUUGGGGUCCCAGGGUCUUCAGGGAAGCCCCAAGUCCUGG